ACUUGUUCUGUUUUUCAACAAACAAUAUACUUAUUUGCAAUUAAAUGAAAAUAAAGCAUUGAAUUCUGAAGUUUUAGAGAAUGACCUUAGAGAUUUUUAGUGGUUGUCAGCCUUAGCCUCCUAUUAAAAUCAUCUGGGAACUAUUAAAAGCAUUUAAUGUUGUGACCCUACCUAGACCUAUUAAAUUCCAUUCUCUGGGGUGAAGCCAGGCCAUCAGUUAUUUUAAAAGUUCUCCAAGUGCUUCUAAUGUGCAGCACAGGUUGGGAGAAUCUGAUCUAGCUUAGCACUUAAAGGUUAUAGUGCUACCACUACAUAACACUUCUAUAUUGAGUUUACUGUAGUAUAUUAAUGGAGCUAUCUUAAGUGGAAAAUGUCUGAUCAAUCAUUAAAUAGCAAUCUAAGUGAAAUCUAUAACUAAAAUUUCUAUCUGGAAAGACAAAAAGAAAAACCAACUUCUCUUUGAGGGUAUGCUAUACCCAGAGACUUGGCUAGUGCUAAGGAGGGCAUGGUAGACUUCCCGAGGUCACACAAAGAACAAGCAGCUCAUGCUUGGUUCUACCCAAUAGUCUGAGUCCCCUCAGUCACUCUGUUUUAGCCUCUAAACCACUAGGACGUGAUUUGAGAAAUUUCAUGAAGCCUCAAGGUGUUCUUUCAGGUUAUUUGUACAAUGGGGAAGAAAAUAUCUAUAGUUCAACCUCUUUCCCAUACUCAUGACAGAUCACCUGGCCUGUGCUUCAGUAUUUUACAGAUUGUUCAUCUGUGGCUGAAAAGCUCUUAUCAAAAUGCUCUUACUUUUAUUGAGCUGAUAAAGUUGCCAUCCUAACUUCUAUCCAUUGGUUCUGGCUCUGCCUCCUGGAGGAACACAGACUAUGUUGAUUGUCUUUUCCCUGUGUUAGCAAUGCAGAUGGAUUGUAAUUUUCCUAAAUCUGCUCUUCAAGAAAAGAUUUCAAGUUUUGAAAACCAUAUCAUCAUCCUGUCCUCGGUGACACCUGUUUCUCUCCUUUGUCAACAUCACCUUUCACAAUGUGUCACCUGGAUAGCAGAUCGAACAACCUGGCUAUAAUAGUGGUUCUGAUAGCCUCCUUUGAUCUCGUCAUUGUAUUCUAGAAAUGAAGCCCAAGAUUUUAUGUAUUUUUACCGCGGUCAUACCACGUUGAUUUAAAAGAUCAAUGAUUUUCAAGCCAGGCUGGACAUUAAAAUCACUUGGGAGAGCUUUGAAAAAAUAUAGCGAUAUCCUGUUUUACCCUUGAUCAAUUAAAUCAGAAUCUCUGGGGAUAAGGCCCAGGUACAGUGAUUUUUAAAAGUACUUCAAUGACCCUAAUAUGCAUCUAAGUGAGUUCUAUCCUUAAAUGUGGUUUCUCUCAAUUUGUAGGUAAAUACAAUAUUUUGUUGUUGUUUGAAUGUAAAUAUCAGGCUUUUGAUCUGUUCUAGUUUAAUUUUCUGAUAAUAGUAGUCCCAGAAUUUUCAAAUGCAAUUCUUUAAGAUUGCAAUGAAGUUAGAACUCUUACGUUACUGUUUAUGUCCACAAAAUGUUUAGAAAAGUUUGAAAAGGAUUUUGAAAAAGAUUAACAGUGUUAAUAUUUCUUAUAUUGUUGGGUUUAUGCAUAAUAUAAUUUGGUUAAUAUGUAUCAUAAAUAAAAGUAUUUUAAGAUCA
rnacentral:lncRNA from 1 species